rnacentral:rRNA from 1 species
AUACGUAGGGCGCAAGCGUUGUCCGGAAUUAUUGGGCGUAAAGAGCUCGUAGGCGGUUUGUCGCGUCUGCUGUGAAAACCCGAGGCUCAACCUCGGGCCUGCAGUGGGUACGGGCAGACUAGAGUGCGGUAGGGGAGACUGGAACUCCUGGUGUAGCGGUGGAAUGCGCAGAUAUCAGGAAGAACACCAAUGGCGAAGGCAGGUCUCUGGGCCGUAACUGACGCUGAGGAGCGAAAGCAUGGGGAGCGAACAGGAUUAGAUACCCUGGUAGUCCAUGCCGUAAACGUUGGGCGCUAGACGUGGGGACCUUUCCACGGUUUCCGUGUCGUAGCUAACGCAUUAAGCGCCCCGCCUGGGGAGUACGGCCGCAAGGCUAAA